CUCUCUGAAUAUGAUCAAAAACCUCUUUCUUUACUCUUUUCCAUGUCUACGACAGUUACCAUGGAGAGGGCUAAUCAAAACAGGCAAGCAAAUAUAGCGACUGUUAAAAAUGACUGACAUUAGGUACAUCAGCCUGCCAUACCUCCAAGCCAACCAAAUGCCUGCCUACAUGAAGACACAGUGUAUCAAGUCUCACUCCAAGGAACUCCAAAUAUGCUCCCUGGAUUUUUUUUGGUGCAUAUGUCUGCCGCUUCGGCAACACUGUUUUUACCAAUGUGUGGUGGGGCACGGUACAUGUAAUACCUCACUUAGCAAGAAGCCCAGUCAACACCUUUCAGCACCCCUCACACAAGAUUCAUCCAGGAUAUAUGGGUUUCCACAAACUGGCAAUCGUUUUUGAAGAAAGGGGCUUGAGUUACAGACCAUUCAUCACACCACUAAAAAUUUUCUUCCAAUAUCAUCAUCUGGCAACCCAAUCUGAAGGCUUCUCCAGAAAUGUGCACAUAUUUGAAUUCAGAAGCCUCCCCCGGCGCGGGAGGGAGGCCAAGAUGGGCUCCAGUGCAGCGGGUCCGACCGAGACAGGACAUCCCUUGACCAUAAAUAACCAGGAAUCUCAAAGCUGGAGGUGCUUGCGGUGGUCUGCUACAGCAGCUCGAGGCUCUCUGUGGGCUCUCGGCUUGGUGGGGAUGAGAGGGACAACGUGGAGACGCUCCGCUGGGGAAAGCGCAAGAGACCUCCGGGAAUCAAAAGGGGAGCAGUCGGAGUGUUCUGCGGACGGCUGCGUUGGAAAACUGAAGUGACCUACGGGGGCCUCAAAACACAGCCUUCAAAGAGGCCCACACCGACACCAGCUUCUGCGGUGGUUUGGCCUCCUAAACAGCCAACUAUAUUCCAUAGCACAACCUGCAUUCAAGCUCUGCUGAGACUAAAUGACAACACAAUAGGACUUUAAAAGUUAAAAUGUUUGUUUAUAUUUUGUAACCCCUCCAUGGAAACAAUUUAACACUACUAAAUAGACUGAUUUGAGGAACAAGCCACAGAUUUAAAUAUUUUUGCGAACUCUGUCUGCCUGCCCCUGCCUGAGUGUAGUGACACUACUACUUAUCUGACAAUGUGAGCGAGGCAAUCAGUCAGUCAGUCGGUCGGAGGAGGAGGGUGUGAAGUUGAACCCUCACACCAUGUGGGGUCCAGCUCAGUUCUCUCACGCCAGAUCACAUUGCAGCUGAACACGAAGAGUCCUGCACUCAGGAAGCACACACUCCAGGCCUGCCUUAUUUGGAGAGUGGUCCGAGACUAUUGUUGAGACACGAACAAUGAAUCUAAAAGCAGACAACAGUGGGCGACUGGGAAAUCAACAAAAUAAAUAAAUAAAUACAUUUAAGGAGACA
rnacentral:lncRNA from 1 species